GGGGAAGUAUUGCGCAAUGGACGAAAGUCUGACGCAGCAACGCCGCGUGAGGGAUGACGGCCUUCGGGUUGUGAAACCUCUUCAGCAGGGACGAAGCGAGAGUGACGGUACCUGCAGAAGAAGGACCGGCCAACUACGUGCCAGCAGCCGCGGUAAUACGUAGGGUCCGAGCGUUGUCCGGAAUUAUUGGGCGUAAAGGGCUCGUAGGCGGUUCGUCACGUCGGGAGUGAAAACUCGGAGCUCAACUCCGAGCCUGCUUCCGAUACGGGCAGACUAGAGGUAGGCAGGGGAGAGCGGAACUCCUGGUGUAGCGGUGGAAUGCGCAGAUAUCAGGAAGAACACCGGUGGCGAAGGCGGCUCUCUGGGCCUUAUCUGACGCUGAGGAGCG
rnacentral:rRNA from 1 species